AUAUAAGAUAGAAUUUCUAUGCUCGUAUACAUAAAGUUACUCGUGAACUGAUCAUACCAUCGUGUUAAUUUAUAUGCAAUAAUUAAAAAAGGACCUGACUAAAUGUCUGGUCCUUUUUUGG
rnacentral:sRNA from 1 species